GUGCUUGAUGUGGCAGUGCACAGACUAAAAUUGGAACAAUACAGAGAAGAUUAGCAUGGUUCCUGUACAAGAAUGACAUGUAAAUUUGUGAAGCAUUCCACAUCUGG
ensembl:snRNA U6 U6 spliceosomal RNA